GACGAACGCUGGCGGCGUGCUUAACACAUGCAAGUCGAACGAAGAGCGACGGAAGCUUGCUUCUAUCACUCUUAGUGGCGAACGGGUGAGUAACGCGUAAUCAACCUGCCCUUCAGAGGGGGACAACAGUUGGAAACGACUGCUAAUACCGCAUACGAUCUAACCUCGGCAUCGAGGAUAGAUGAAAGGUGGCCUCUACAUGUAGCCAUCACUGAAGGAGGGGAGUGCGUCUGAUUAGCUAGUUGGAGGGGUAACGGCCCACCAAGGCGAUGAUCAGUAGCCGGUCUGAGAGGAUGAACGGCCACAUUGGGACUGAGACACGGCCCAGACUCCUACGGGAGGCAGCAGUGGGGAAUCUUCCGCAAUGGACGAAAGUCUGACGGAGCAACGCCGCGUGAGUGAUGACGGCCUUCGGGUUGUAAAGCUCUGUUAAUCGGGACGAAAGGCCUUCUUGCGAAUAGUGAGAAGGAUUGACGGUACCGGAAUAGAAAGCCACGGCUAACUACGUG
rnacentral:rRNA from 1 species